UUAAGUUAUUAAGGGCGCACGGUGGAUGCCUUGGCACUAGAAGCCGAUGAAGGACGUUACUAACGACGAUAUGCUUUGGGGAGCUGUAAGUAAGCUUUGAUCCAGAGAUUUCCGAAUGGGGAAACCCAGCAUGAGUUAUGUCAUGUUAUCGAUAUGUGAAUACAUAGCAUAUCAGAAGGCACACCCGGAGAACUGAAACAUCUUAGUACCCGGAGGAAGAGAAAGAAAAUUCGAUUCCCUUAGUAGCGGCGAGCGAAACGGGAAGAGCCCAAACCAACAAGCUUGCUUGUUGGGGUUGUAGGACACUCUAUACGGAGUUACAAAGGACGACAUUAGACGAAUCAUCUGGAAAGAUGAAUCAAAGAAGGUAAUAAUCCUGUAGUCGAAAAUGUUGUCUCUCUUGAGUGGAUCCUGAGUACGACGGAGCACGUGAAAUUCCGUUGGAAUCUGGGAGGACCAUCUCCUAAGGCUAAAUACUCUCUAGUGACCGAUAGUGAACCAGUACCGUGAGGGAAAGGUGAAAAGCACCCCGGAAGGGGAGUGAAAUAGAACCUGAAACCGUGUGCUUACAAGUAGUCAGAGCCCGUUAAUGGGUGAUGGCGUGCCUUUUGUAGAAUGAACCGGCGAGUUACGAUUUGAUGCAAGGUUAAGCAGUAAAUGUGGAGCCGUAGCGAAAGCGAGUCUGAAUAGGGCGUUUAGUAUUUGGUCGUAGACCCGAAACCAGGUGAUCUACCCUUGGUCAGGUUGAAGUUCAGGUAACACUGAAUGGAGGACCGAACCGACUUACGUUGAAAAGUGAGCGGAUGAACUGAGGGUAGCGGAGAAAUUCCAAUCGAACCUGGAGAUAGCUGGUUCUCUCCGAAAUAGCUUUAGGGCUAGCCUCAAGUGAUGAUUAUUGGAGGUAGAGCACUGUUUGGACGAGGGGCCCCUCUCGGGUUACCGAAUUCAGACAAACUCCGAAUGCCAAUUAAUUUAACUUGGGAGUCAGAACAUGGGUGAUAAGGUCCGUGUUCGAAAGGGAAACAGCCCAGACCACCAGCUAAGGUCCCAAAAUAUAUGUUAAGUGGAAAAGGAUGUGGCGUUGCCCAGACAACUAGGAUGUUGGCUUAGAAGCAGCCAUCAUUUAAAGAGUGCGUAAUAGCUCACUAGUCGAGUGACACUGCGCCGAAAAUGUACCGGGGCUAAACAUAUUACCGAAGCUGAGGAUUGUCCUUUGGACAAUGGUAGGAGAGCGUUCUAAGGGCGUUGAAGCAUGAUCGUAAGGACAUGUGGAGCGCUUAGAAGUGAGAAUGCCGGUGUGAGUAGCGAAAGACGGGUGAGAAUCCCGUCCACCGAUUGACUAAGGUUUCCAGAGGAAGGCUCGUCCGCACUGGGUUAGUCGGGUCCUAAGCUGAGGCCGACAGGCGUAGGCGAUGGAUAACAGGUUGAUAUUCCUGUACCACCUAUAAUCGUUUUAAUCGAUGGGGGGACGCAGUAGGAUAGGCGAAGCGUGCGAUUGGAUUGCACGUCUAAGCAGUAAGGCUGAGUAUUAGGGAAAUCCGGUACUCAUUAAGGCUGAGCUGUGAUGGGGAGAAGACAUUGUGUCUUCGAGUCGUUGAUUUCACACUGCCGAGAAAAGCCUCUAGAUAGAAAAUAGGUGCCCGUACCGCAAACCGACACAGGUAGUCAAGAUGAGAAUUCUAAGGUGAGCGAGCGAACUCUCGUUAAGGAUCUCGGCAAAAUGACCCCGUAACUUCGGGAGAAGGGGUGCUCUUUAGGGUUAACGCCCAGAAGAGCCGCAGUGAAUAGGCCCAAGCGACUGUUUAUCAAAAACACAGGUCUCUGCUAAACCGUAAGGUGAUGUAUAGGGGCUGACGCCUGCCCGGUGCUGGAAGGUUAAGAGGAGUGGUUAGCUUCUGCGAAGCUACGAAUCGAAGCCCCAGUAAACGGCGGCCGUAACUAUAACGGUCCUAAGGUAGCGAAAUUCCUUGUCGGGUAAGUUCCGACCCGCACGAAAGGCGUAACGAUUUGGGCACUGUCUCAACGAGAGACUCGGUGAAAUCAUAGUACCUGUGAAGAUGCAGGUUACCCGCGACAGGACGGAAAGACCCCGUGGAGCUUUACUGUAGCCUGAUAUUGAAAUUCGGCACA
rnacentral:rRNA from 1 species